AAAUGCGAUAAGUAAUGUGCAUUGCAGAAUUCAGUGAAUCAUCGAAUCUUUGAACGCACCUUGCGCUCCUUGGUAUUCCUUGGAGCAUGCCUGUUUGAGUAUCAUGAAAUCUUCAAAGUAAAUCUUUUGUUAACUCAAUUGGCUUCUACUUUGGUAUUGGAGGUCUUUGCAGCUUCACACCUGCUCCUCUUUGUUCAUUAGCUGGAUCUCAGUGUUAUGCUUGGUUCCACUCGGCGUGAUAAGUUAUCUAUCGCUGAGGACACUGUAAAAGGUGGCCAAGGUAAAUGCAGAUGAACCGCUUCUAAUAGUCCAUUGACUUGGACAAUACUUUUAUGAUCUGAUCUCAAAUCAGGUAGGACUACCCGCUGAACUUAAGC
rnacentral:misc_RNA from 1 species